CUAAACCAAACACUCUUGUUGGUGCUUCAGUCUGCAGAAUUACAUAUUUCAGACGAAAACACAGCUGAAGAGGACAUAUUAAUUGGAGACUAUGCAGUGAGUAAGACAACUUAGAGAUAAAGAGAGAACCGAAACCAAUAACAUUCAUUGUGCAAUUUGAGUUCUAAUUUGAAUUACCAGGAAGAAGAAAAAGAAAGAUGUAAUAAGACUGAUGUAAUAUGUAACUAUGGACAGUACUGAUCCAUUCUCCAAUAUCACAG